CGUUCUUCCAUCAUCUCCUUUCCCUUCGGCUACAGUAGAAGUGUAGAACAGGGCGGCCGAACGGCGAUUCGGCCGGCUUCCGGCGUCGAUUUCGUCGUCGUCGGUACCUUCUCCCCGUCUUCGACCAGCACGGCGCCGGCAAGCAGGGUGUCGAUUCCUCUACCAGGUUUCCAGAUCAUCUUGUUGCGACAUUGAAUAAAAUCACUCCAUUUCUCCAGAAGAAAAAAAAAAGCCCAGUCAUUCUGCUUACCAGUCGUGCUCGCCGCCGCCGGCAAUGCAGGGCAACGACAAUGCGAGAAGCUAUAAGAAUCAGCAGCUGUCAAUCACCUUAAGCAUGAACAGUCUGAUGAUAAUUUUCAUCGUAUGGUGAUGGAGACCAGCACAAGCUGAUGAAUCAGCCAGUUUUCUCGAGGAAAUAGGCUGACGAGUACCGCCGACGAGCCAACCGAUUCUCCCAAAAGCAUAUGGUGAUAAGGAACACCGAAUUUCACAGGUGAUCCUGGUCCCGGCAGCGGACGCCAACUGCAAUGCAGAUGAGAGCGACAGCACCACCCAGUCUCGCAUGAUUUGGUCUCACUACACACUAACACUAGGUGGAGAGGAGCCCAGGGUGGCAAAUAAGGAUGAGCUAUCAAAAGCAGCGUCCACUGGGAAGCUGAUGGACAGAAAACUAAGCUUGCUUUGGCCUGCUGUGGCCUGUGAGGUUAGCACACAGUGAGCUCAUGAUAACACUUGUCCUGCCGUGGGGCUUAGUGGAGGUCAGUUGAUGCGCUCUAUCUAUUGUUGACGUAAAUGCUGGGCCAUUAGCAGACGACCGUUGAGCGGAUGCAUGAUUGCGUUCGGCUUGUGGCUGCAUUUUUGACAUGUCAAUGCUGGUGAACAGUAAACUAUAUGUGUGUGUAUUUGAUUUGUUUGAGAUGACCAGUCCUCUUAGUUUGUUUUAUAGGUACGGUCCGAUAUUUUUGUGAAUAGUGGAGUCCGAUGCAGGCUCAAGAGUCAGCCAUUACCUACCAGAUCGACCCUGACAUGGAACAUUUUCUUAAGUUUGAGGCCCGUGAUAAGCUAGGUGAUCGAUCAUCCUUUUCCUGUUGUGGCUUGUUUUCGCUUUCAGUUGCCUCUCAUAUGCAGCCAGCUUGAUUCACAUUGUUCUGUUUCAUUGGUGAUGACCGAAAGGUGAUAGAUGCUGCAAAGAACAGAGUUUUUUACCUCGGUUUGUAUGUUGCGUGUGGCGAAUGUUGCCAUUUAGCAUCGAUGAAUCUGCACACCUGUACAUUGUAUACUUAGCAGCUGCUGGUUUUGGAGAUCUCUCUCAUGUCAAGGAGUAGGACACGACACCGAUUCCUACAAAUGGCUCUCAUAUUUUCAAUGCUGCAGACAGUUAGAAAUAUAUGUUAUCAACGGAUCAUUUGUGUCUUGGUGUUGGUUGCGUCGAGCUUGAGCUUGCUUGGCACUACUCAUGGAGUCAUGGUGAACUGGAUAAUCUUGGUAAGCUGUGUGUGAUGCUCGGUUUUCAGGAAUAACUGUAGGUUAGGGCCAGGGGUAUCUUCUUGUUUUUGGAUAUGUGUGCGCCUUGCAUCUAGAAAGGUACUGUAAACUGAACACUCAGAAUUGCUAUGUAAUUAAUGAGAUUUUUGAUAUAUGGAAUAAAGUUUGAUGAUGAGGUAAGAUCAA